GACGAACGCUGGCGGCGUGCUUAACACAUGCAAGUCGAGCGGAGCGGCGAACGGGUGAGUAACGCGUGAGUAACUGCCCCCCUCUCUGGGAUAACAGUUGGAAACGGCUGCUAAUACCGGAUAGUGGGGGAUGCCUCGCGUCCUAUCAGCUUGUUGGUGGGGUAGUGGCCUACCAAGGCGAUGACGGGUAGCCGGCCGGGGAGGGCGACCGGCCACAUUGGGCUGGGGUACGGCCCAAAGUGGUACGGUGGGCAGCAGGGGGGAAGAUUGCACAGUGGGGGAAACCCUGAUGCAGAAACGCCGCGUGCGGGAUGACGGCCUGCGGGUUGGAAACCGCUUUCGGCCAUGACGCGGUAGUGGCAGAAGAAGCACCGGCUAACUACGUGCCAGCAGCCGCGGUAAUAC
rnacentral:rRNA from 1 species